CUAGAUCCUAGUGUAAACAUCCUAAUGAAAUGGGAGGUUCAAAUACGCUCUCCAGAACCAGUAUUUCAGACUUUCUGUAAUAAACUAAAUGUGCCAGUACCAGAGACUCUAGGAAAAACCAGAAAUUUGUUUUUGCAAUUAGCCGAGCAUGUAGCCCAGUCUCUAAAUGUCACUUCAUGUUAUGUUUGUGGAAAAACUGUAAUAGAAGAUCAAUGGCCAUGGGAAGCCCAAUAAUUAGUUCCUACAGAUCCAGUUCCUGAUGAAUUCCCAGCCCAAAAGAACCACCCUGACAUAUUUUUCGUCCUAAAAGUCUCAAUUAUUGGACAGUAUUGCAUAGCUAAAGAAGGAAAAGGAUUCACUCAUCCUGUAAGGCGGUUUAGUUGUCUUAGGCAAAAGCUGUAUAAUGGUACCACAAAAACAGUUACAUGGUGGAGUUCCAAUUACACAGAAAGAAAUCCAUUCAGUAAAUUUCCAAAGUUGCAGACUAUUUGGGCCCACCCAGAAUUCCACCAGGACUGGACGGCCCCACAGGGUUAUACUGGAUAUGUGGACACAGAGCUUAUGCUAAUCUGCCUGAUCAGUGGACAGAAAGAAAUCCAUUCAGUAAAUUUCCAAAAUUGCAGACUGUUUGAGCCCACCCAGAAUUCCGCCAGGACUGGAUUGCCCCCAGCAGGUUAUACUGGAUAUGUGGACAUAGAGCCUAUGCUAAGCCACCUGAUCAGUGGACAGGUAGCUGUGUAAUUGGCACUAUUACACCACCUUUCUUCCUACUGCCCAUAAAAACAGACAAACUCCUAGGAUUCCCUGUCUAUGCUUCCCGCGAAAAAUGAAGCAUAGCCAUAGGUAACUGGAAAGAUGAUGAAUGGCCCCCUGAAAGAAUUAUACAAUACUGUGGACCCACCACUUGGGCACAAGAUGGCUCAUGGGGAUAUCGGACCCCCAUCUUCAUGCUCAACUGAAUCAUACGGUUGCAAGCUGUUUUAGAAAUUAUUACUAAUAAAACCUGUCAAGUCUUGACUGUUCUUGCCCAGCAAGAGACUCAGAUAAGGAAUACUAUCUACCAAAAUAGACUAGUUCUGAACUACUUGCUAGCAGCUGAAGGAGGAGUUUGUGGAAAAUUUAACCUUACUAAUUUCUGUUUCCACAUAGAUGAUCAAGGGCAAGUAGUUGAAGACAUAUUUAAAGAUAUAACAAAACUGGCACAUGUACCCAUGCAAGUGUGGCACGGAUUUGAUCCUGGGGCCAUGUUUGGAAAUUGGUUCCCAGCAAUAGGAGGAUUUAAAACUCUUAUCAUAGGAGUUAUAAUAGUAAUAGGAACCUGCUUACUACUCCCUUGUUUGCUACCUGUACUUCUUCAAAUGAUAAAAAGCUUCAUCAUUACCUUAGUUCACCAGAAUGCUUCAGCACAAGUAUAUUAUAUGAAUCACUAUCAAUCUAUUGCACGGGAAGACAUAAGUAGUGAAAAUGAAAGUGAGAAUUCCCACUAAUAAAAUGAGUGAGAGUCUCAAAGGUGGGAAAUGAAAGAAGAGAGAAAGAGAUCCCCCCAUAUUGUUUUAUAUUGUUUUAUAUUCAGUACCUGCUUUAAGAAGAAACAAGGAAGUGAAACCAAAGGCAGGCAGCCCAGAGCCAGGCACCAGACCCAAAACCAGGCCUGGGCCUGCCUGACCUUAGCCUGAUAGUUAAAAUUCAACCCAUGACCUAGCAACCGAUAUUAUCCACAGAUUCCAGACAUUGUAUGGAAGGACACUCUGAAGCUUCUCAUUCUGUUCUGUUUCACUCUGAUUGCUGGUGCUUGCAGCCCCUGUCACAUACCGCCUAGAUUGUUCAAUCAAUCACGGCCCUUUCAUGUAAAAUCUUUAGUGUUAUGAGCCCUCAAAAGGGACAGAAAUUGUGCACUCAACAAGCUCGGAUUUUAGGAUGCUAGUCUGCUGAUGCUUUCAGCUGAUUAAAAGCUACUUCCUUCACUACCUCGGUGUCUGUGGGGUUUUGUCCAUGGCUCGUCCUGCUACAGGCACA
rnacentral:lncRNA from 1 species